AUUGAACGCUGGCGGAAUGCUUUACACAUGCAAGUCGAACGGCAGCACGGGGCAACCUGGUGGCGAGUGGCGAACGGGUGAGUAAUACAUCGGAACGUGCCCAAUCGUGGGGGAUAACGUAGCGAAAGUUACGCUAAUACCGCAUACGAUCUACGGAUGAAAGCGGGGGAUCGCAAGACCUCGCGCGAUUGGAGCGGCCGAUGUCAGAUUAGGUAGUUGGUGGGGUAAAGGCUCACCAAGCCGACGAUCUGUAGCUGGUCUGAGAGGACGACCAGCCACACUGGGACUGAGACACGGCCCAGACUCCUACGGGAGGCAGCAGUGGGGAAUUUUGGACAAUGGGCGCAAGCCUGAUCCAGCCAUUCCGCGUGCAGGAUGAAGGCCUU
rnacentral:rRNA from 1 species